rnacentral:rRNA from 1 species
UACGGGGGGGGCAAGCGUUGUUCGGAAUUACUGGGCGUAAAGGGCCGGUAGGCGGCCAACUAAGUCGGAUGUGAAAUCCCCAGGCUUAACCUGGGAACUGCAUCCGAUACUGGAUGGCUUGAAUUCGGGAGAGGGAUGCAGAAUUCCAGGUGUAGCGGUGAAAUGCGUAGAUAUCUGGAGGAAUACCGGUGGCGAAGGCGGCAUCCUGGACCGACAUUGACGCUGAACGGCGAAAGCUAGGGGAGCAAACGGG